GUCUUUUUGUUUAAAAUAUAAAGUCUAAUCUGCCCACUGAUUUAUAUUAAAGGGCCGCAGUAUUUUGACUGUGCAAAGGUAGCAUAAUCACUUGUCUCUUAAUUGGAGGCUGGAAUGAAUGAUUGAAUGAAAUAUUAACUGUCUCAUAUUUAAAAAAAAUAAAAAUUUAGCUUUUAAGUUAAAAGGCUUAAAUAUUUUUAGAGGACGAGAAGACCCUAUAGAUCUUUAUAUUAUAUUAAUUUUUGUAAAAUAGAAAAAUAUUUAAUGUAAUUUAAUAUAAUAUUUUAUUGGGGUGAUAGGAAAAUUAAUUAAACUUUUUUUAAUUUAAAACAUUGAUUAAUGAAUAAUUGAUCCAUUUAUAGUGAUUAUAAGAUUAAGUUACCUUAGGGAUAACAGCGUAAUUUUUUUGGAGAGUUCAUAUCGAUAAAAAAGAUUGCGACCUCGAUGUUGAAUUAAAGGUUAUUUCUAGAUGUAGAAGUUUAGAGUUUAGGUCUGUUCGACCUUUGAAUCUUU
rnacentral:rRNA from 1 species